rnacentral:rRNA from 1 species
GAUUAAGUUAUUAAGGGCGCACGGUGGAUGCCUUGGCACUAGAAGCCGAUGAAGGACGUUACUAACGACGAUAUGCUUUGGGGAGCUGUAAGUAAGCUUUGAUCCAGAGAUUUCCGAAUGGGGAAACCCAGCAUGAGUUAUGUCAUGUUAUCGAUAUGUGAAUACAUAGCAUAUCAGAAGGCACACCCGGAGAACUGAAACAUCUUAGUACCCGGAGGAAGAGAAAGAAAAUUCGAUUCCCUUAGUAGCGGCGAGCGAAACGGGAAGAGCCCAAACCAACAAGCUUGCUUGUUGGGGUUGUAGGACACUCUAUACGGAGUUACAAAGGACGACAUUAGACGAAUCAUCUGGAAAGAUGAAUCAAAGAAGGUAAUAAUCCUGUAGUCGAAAAUGUUGUCUCUCUUGAGUGGAUCCUGAGUACGACGGAGCACGUGAAAUUCCGUCGGAAUCUGGGAGGACCAUCUCCUAAGGCUAAAUACUCUCUAGUGACCGAUAGUGAACCAGUACCGUGAGGGAAAGGUGAAAAGCACCCCGGAAGGGGAGUGAAAUAGAACCUGAAACCGUGUGCUUACAAGUAGUCAGAGCCCGUUAAUGGGUGAUGGCGUGCCUUUUGUAGAAUGAACCGGCGAGUUACGAUUUGAUGCAAGGUUAAGCAGUAAAUGUGGAGCCGUAGCGAAAGCGAGUCUGAAUAGGGCGUUUAGUAUUUGGUCGUAGACCCGAAACCAGGUGAUCUACCCUUGGUCAGGUUGAAGUUCAGGUAACACUGAAUGGAGGACCGAACCGACUUACGUUGAAAAGUGAGCGGAUGAACUGAGGGUAGCGGAGAAAUUCCAAUCGAACCUGGAGAUAGCUGGUUCUCUCCGAAAUAGCUUUAGGGCUAGCCUCAAGUGAUGAUUAUUGGAGGUAGAGCACUGUUUGGACGAGGGGCCCCUCUCGGGUUACCGAAUUCAGACAAACUCCGAAUGCCAAUUAAUUUAACUUGGGAGUCAGAACAUGGGUGAUAAGGUCCGUGUUCGAAAGGGAAACAGCCCAGACCACCAGCUAAGGUCCCAAAAUAUAUGUUAAGUGGAAAAGGAUGUGGCGUUGCCCAGACAACUAGGAUGUUGGCUUAGAAGCAGCCAUCAUUUAAAGAGUGCGUAAUAGCUCACUAGUCGAGUGACACUGCGCCGAAAAUGUACCGGGGCUAAACAUAUUACCGAAGCUGUGGAUUGUCCUUUGGACAAUGGUAGGAGAGCGUUCUAAGGGCGUUGAAGCAUGAUCGUAAGGACAUGUGGAGCGCUUAGAAGUGAGAAUGCCGGUGUGAGUAGCGAAAGACGGGUGAGAAUCCCGUCCACCGAUUGACUAAGGUUUCCAGAGGAAGGCUCGUCCGCUCUGGGUUAGUCGGGUCCUAAGCUGAGGCCGACAGGCGUAGGCGAUGGAUAACAGGUUGAUAUUCCUGUACCACCUAUAAUCGUUUUAAUCGAUGGGGGGACGCAGUAGGAUAGGCGAAGCGUGCGAUUGGAUUGCACGUCUAAGCAGUAAGGCUGAGUAUUAGGCAAAUCCGGUACUCGUUAAGGCUGAGCUGUGAUGGGGAGAAGACAUUGUGUCUUCGAGUCGUUGAUUUCACACUGCCGAGAAAAGCCUCUAGAUAGAAAAUAGGUGCCCGUACCGCAAACCGACACAGGUAGUCAAGAUGAGAAUUCUAAGGUGAGCGAGCGAACUCUCGUUAAGGAACUCGGCAAAAUGACCCCGUAACUUCGGGAGAAGGGGUGCUCUUUAGGGUUAACGCCCAGAAGAGCCGCAGUGAAUAGGCCCAAGCGACUGUUUAUCAAAAACACAGGUCUCUGCUAAACCGUAAGGUGAUGUAUAGGGGCUGACGCCUGCCCGGUGCUGGAAGGUUAAGAGGAGUGGUUAGCUUCUGCGAAGCUACGAAUCGAAGCCCCAGUAAACGGCGGCCGUAACUAUAACGGUCCUAAGGUAGCGAAAUUCCUUGUCGGGUAAGUUCCGACCCGCACGAAAGGCGUAACGAUUUGGGCACUGUCUCAACGAGAGACUCGGUGAAAUCAUAGUACCUGUGAAGAUGCAGGUUACCCGCGACAGGACGGAAAGACCCCGUGGAGCUUUACUGUAGCCUGAUAUUGAAAUUCGGCACAGCUUGUACAGGAUAGGUAGGAGCCUUUGAAACGUGAGCGCUAGCUUACGUGGAGGCGCUGGUGGGAUACUACCCUAGCUGUGUUGGCUUUCUAACCCGCACCACUUAUCGUGGUGGGAGACAGUGUCAGGCGGGCAGUUUGACUGGGGCGGUCGCCUCCUAAAAGGUAACGGAGGCGCUCAAAGGUUCCCUCAGAAUGGUUGGAAAUCAUUCAUAGAGUGUAAAGGCAUAAGGGAGCUUGACUGCGAGACCUACAAGUCGAGCAGGGUCGAAAGACGGACUUAGUGAUCCGGUGGUUCCGCAUGGAAGGGCCAUCGCUCAACGGAUAAAAGCUACCCCGGGGAUAACAGGCUUAUCUCCCCCAAGAGUUCACAUCGACGGGGAGGUUUGGCACCUCGAUGUCGGCUCAUCGCAUCCUGGGGCUGUAGUCGGUCCCAAGGGUUGGGCUGUUCGCCCAUUAAAGCGGUACGCGAGCUGGGUUCAGAACGUCGUGAGACAGUUCGGUCCCUAUCCGUCGUGGGCGUAGGAAAUUUGAGAGGAGCUGUCCUUAGUACGAGAGGACCGGGAUGGACAUACCUCUGGUGUACCAGUUGUCGUGCCAACGGCAUAGCUGGGUAGCUAUGUGUGGACGGGAUAAGUGCUGAAAGCAUCUAAGCAUGAAGCCCCCCUCAAGAUGAGAUUUCCCAACUUCGGUUAUAAGAUUCCUCAAAGAUGAUGAGGUUAAUAGGUUCGAGGUGGAAGCAUGGUGACAUGUGGAGCUGACGAAUACUAAUCGAUCGAAGACUUAAUCAA